rnacentral:rRNA from 1 species
UAGGGAAUCUUCGGCAAUGGGGGCAACCCUGACCGAGCAAUGCCGCGUGAGUGAAGAAGGUUUUCGGAUCGUAAAGCUCUGUUGUAAGAGAAGAACGUGUGUGAGAGUGGAAAGUUCACACAGUGACGGUAACUUACCAGAAAGGGACGGCUAACUACGUGCCAGCAGCCGCGGUAAUACGUAGGUCCCGAGCGUUGUCCGGAUUUAUUGGGCGUAAAGCGAGCGCAGGCGGUUUAAUAAGUCUGAAGUUAAAGGCAGUGGCUUAACCAUUGUUCGCUUUGGAAACUGUUAAACUUGAGUGCAGAAGGGGAGAGUGGAAUUCCAUGUGUAGCGGUGAAAUGCGUAGAUAUAUGGAGGAACACCGGUGGCGAAAGCGGCUCUCUGGUCUGUAACUGACGCUGAGGCUCGAAAGCGUGGGGAGCAAACAGG